CCUACGGGGGGCAGCAGUGGGGAAUAUUGCACAAUGGGCGCAAGCCUGAUGCAGCCAUGCCGCGUGUGUGAAGAAGGCCUUCGGGUUGUAAAGCACUUUCAGCGGGGAGGAAGGCGGUGAGGUUAAUAACCUCAUCGAUUGACGUUACCCGCAGAAGAAGCACCGGCUAACUCCGUGCCAGCAGCCGCGGUAAUACGGAGGGUGCAAGCGUUAAUCGGAAUUACUGGGCGUAAAGCGCACGCAGGCGGUCUGUCAAGUCGGAUGUGAAAUCCCCGGGCUCAACCUGGGAAUUGCAUUCGAAACUGGCAGGCUAGAGUCUUGUAGAGGGGGGUAGAAUUCCAGGUGUAGCGGUGAAAUGCGUAGAGAUCUGGAGGAAUACCGGUGGCGAAGGCGGCCCCCUGGGCAAAGACUGACGCUCAGGUGCGAAAGCGUGGGGAGCAAACAGGAUUAGAUACCCCGGUAGUC
rnacentral:rRNA from 1 species